rnacentral:rRNA from 1 species
CUACCCUUGACAUGUCCGGAAUCCUGCAGAGAUGCGGGAGUGCCCGAAAGGGAAUCGGAACACAGGUGCUGCAUGGCUGUCGUCAGCUCGUGUCGUGAGAUGUUGGGUUAAGUCCCGCAACGAGCGCAACCCUUAUCAUUAGUUGCUACGCAAGGGCACUCUAAUGAGACUGCCGGUGACAAACCGGAGGAAGGUGGGGAUGACGUCAAGUCCUCAUGGCCCUUAUGGGUAGGGCUUCACACGUCAUACAAUGGUCGGUACAGAGGGUUGCCAAGCCGCGAGGUGGAGCCAAUCCCAGAAAGCCGAUCGUAGUCCGGAUUGUUCUCUGCAACUCGAGAGCAUGAAGUCGGAAUCGCUAGUAAUCGCGGAUCAGCAUGUCGCGGUGAAUACGUUCCC